rnacentral:rRNA from 1 species
CCUACGGGAGGCAGCAGUAAGGAAUAUUGGUCAAUGGACGAAAGUCUGAACCAGCCAUGCCGCGUGCAGGAUGACUGCCCUAUGGGUUGUAAACUGCUUUUAUAUAGGAAGAAAAACACCUACGUGUAGGUGACUGACGGUACCGUAAGAAUAAGCACCGGCUAAUUCCGUGCCAGCAGCCGCGGUAAU